GCUCUGCUUCACUCACGUGCCAAACACGAACAUUGCAUCAUCCUUCUUCUUCCCAGAAAAACCGCAUCAACUCUUCUUCCUCCCCCAACACCCUUUCUAUUCUCUCUGUCAACACUUAACAGUUGUUUCUUAGCCUUCCCAAAUCGAAAAUCGUCUGAGUUUGCUCCACUAUUUCACCGAGCUCGCACUCUACUCUUCAACCGUUGACUGGUGUGCACCGUCGCCGGUACAAUUCGUCAUUGCAAUCGAGUAAUCCGUCAAGUGUAUUCUCAUAACAGGUUUUAUCACUCACACUUUGGGGAGAACUGAAACCCAAGCACCUCACGCUUGAAAGUUUAUCGCAAGUGCAAGGGAAACUUCUGAUGGAGUGUAAGAAUUUGAUAUUGGCUCAACAAAAUGGGCUCCUUCUCAAGGUCUAAAAAUUGCUACAGAAUCUCAGGUCUUAACCCCCAUAAGUUGCAAGAAUCAUACACCUUUGUAACGGUACUCCUAGAUAUAUUUGUUGAAAGACUUAGAUUAUCGUUGUAAUAAUAUUGUUUUUUUGAUCUUAACUAAUGGUUUAAUUAUCUAUAGGAAGUUUAAAACUUGAUAAUUAAGGUGUUAGUGGCUAAACCUGGUCCGUCUUAUCCGGUUUAACUCGCUACCCAACUGCCCAUCUAACCACCUGUACUUGCAGUAAUUAAAUUGAUAAAUGGAGUGAUCUACCUUCAGUUUGCAAGUGUAAAUAGAUGUGAUAAGUUGAUUAAAAAAAUGCAUACCACAGAGUCACUGAAGUUCAUGGUAGAUAGGGAGAAAGUGAGACUAAACCUUCUGGUGGUGGUUAGCCACCGUACGCGGCGGUGACGCCACCCACUCCGGCGAGGGCCGUUGGUUAUGAUUGGGCUGGAGAAAAACUGCAGUACGUUUCCUUCUUUGAUCUCUGCUCUUGGCUUUGGUUUCCGUUUUCCAGUUGAUGAAGUUCGCCUUUUAAGAUUGACUUGAAGAUGGUUUUGCAAACAGAGUUUUGUGCACAUCUUUGGUUAGGUUACGUGUACAUUGUCUAAAUAAGACGCGUGUGUUUGUGGUGUCAUUUUCUUCCCCCUUUGUAACCCACAUAACCACCCAAAUCGACACAGAGGCUCUCCAGUCAUCGCUCAUCACCACCGUUCUGCCCCAAAUCGACGUCAGCGACCUAACACUACAACACCACAAGGCAAGCGAUGGUUUUGUUAGGAAAUUAGGGCUCCAACAGGUAUGUUUAGCUUAAUCGUAAUGUUCAUUCAUGGUGGGUAUGCUUACAGUAAGAAGAUGGAGGCGGCGCGAGGAACCCGUUUAACACCGGCAAGAAUUUUGGUAAGCCUAGCUUCAAUUGUAUGUUUCUUUUUCAUUUAGAUCGGUUUUCAUUGUUUCCGUUUAAGCUAUUUUUUGUGUUACAAAACUCCGGUGACUGAUUGGUUGUUGUUAUGUAAGUUCGAUGUGUUGUUUGCUAUGUUCCUCCUUGUCGUUUGUGUAGAAGUUAAUUAACAUUUUUCUGUUCAUGAAAGAAACAAUCUUAGUUUGUUUCA